ACUCUCUUAGUAUAAACAGUACAAUUGACUUCCAAUUAAUAGGUCUCGACAAGCUCGAGAGAGAGUA
rnacentral:tRNA from 2 species